rnacentral:piRNA from 1 species
ACUAUAGAACUUCAGAGCAAAGG